rnacentral:lncRNA from 1 species
CCAGUGCAAGCCCAGUGAGGCCUGGUGCUUCUUGGACCAGCUGCAAACCACCCACACAUUAUCAGAAACAGGAAUAUGUAUUCCAAGAUAGAAGACAACCCUCUCUGAUUCUAUACAAAGCUCCGAAGGCAGAAAGGUGUACUUUAACUGCUUCUGUAUCCUUUCUCCCAUGCUGAAAAAAUCCAGAAUACAUACCAAAAGAUUUAUAACAGUUUUCCUCAUUGCUUUCC